rnacentral:rRNA from 1 species
GACGUAGGGUGCAAGCGUUGUCCGGAUUUACUGGGCGUAAAGAGCGCGUAGGCGGCUCGUUAAGUAUGAAGUGAAAUCUCCAGGGCUCAACCCGGAACUGCUUCGUAGACUGGCGAGCUUGAGGAAUGCAGAGGUAAGUGGAAUUCCUGGUGUAGCGGUGAAAUGCGUAGAUAUCAGGAGGAACACCGACGGCGAAGGCAGCUUACUGGGCAUUAUCUGACGCUGAGGCGCGAAAGCGUGGGUAGCAAACAGGAUUAGAUACCCCAGUAGU